GGAUCCAGACUUUGAUCCUGGCUCAGGAUGAACGCUAGCUACAGGCUUAACACAUGCAAGUCGAGGGGAAACGAUAUUGGAAGCUUGCUUCCGAUAGGCGUCGACCGGCGCACGGGUGAGUAACGCGUAUCCAACCUGCCCACCACUUGGGGAUAACCUUGCGAAAGUAAGACUAAUACCCAAUGAUAUCUCUAGAAGACAUCUGAAAGAGAUUAAAGAUUUAUCGGUGAUGGAUGGGGAUGCGUCUGAUUAGUUUGUUGGCGGGGUAACGGCCCACCAAGGCGACGAUCAGUAGGGGUUCUGAGAGGAAGGUCCCCCACAUUGGAACUGAGACACGGUCCAAACUCCUACGGGAGGCAGCAGUGAGGAAUAUUGGUCAAUGGGCGAGAGCCUGAACCAGCCAAGUAGCGUGCAGGAUGACGGCCCUAUGGGUUGUAAACUGCUUUUAUAAGGGAAUAAAGUGAGUCUCGUGAGACUUUUUGCAUGUACCUUAUGAAUAAGGACCGGCUAAUUCCGUGCCAGCAGCCGCGGUAAUACGGAAGGUCCGGGCGUUAUCCGGAUUUAUUGGGUUUAAAGGGAGCGUAGGCCGGAGAUUAAGCGUGUUGUGAAAUGUAGACGCUCAACGUCUGCACUGCAGCGCGAACUGGUUUCCUUGAGUACGCACAAAGUGGGCGGAAUUCGUGGUGUAGCGGUGAAAUGCUUAGAUAUCACGAAGAACUCCGAUUGCGAAGGCAGCUCACUGGAGCGCAACUGACGCUGAAGCUCGAAAGUGCGGGUAUCGAACAGGAUUAGAUACCCUGGUAGUCCGCACGGUAAACGAUGGACGCCCGCUGUUGGUCUGAAUAGGUCAGCGGCCAAGCGAUAGCAUUAAGCAUCCCACCUGGGGAGUACGCCGGCAACGGUGCAACUCAAAGGAAUUGACGG
rnacentral:rRNA from 1 species